GUGUCCUCGCUUUGACAACACAUAUACUAAAAUUGGAACAAUGCAGAGAAGAUUAGCAUGGCCUCUGAGCAAGGAUAACAUGCAAAUUCGUUUAAAUUAAAGGGGCACCU
ensembl:snRNA U6 U6 spliceosomal RNA